rnacentral:sRNA from 1 species
AACUUCGCUACGAGCACGAUGCCUCAAG